CCUACGGGGCGCAGCAGCACGGACUGGACGAUCUGCGACUGAGCGAGGACGAUCUCGAAGUGAUCGAGACGGAACACCAGAGCGCGUGCGCCACGGUGCUCAUGUUGGACAUCAGCCACAGCAUGAUCCUUUAUGGGGAAGACCGCAUCACCCCGGCCAAGAAAGUAGCCAUGGCGCUGGCCGAACUCAUCGCGCGGCGCUAUCCGAAGGACACGCUGGAUUUCGUCGUCUUCGGGAAUGAUGCGUGGCAAGUCUCGCUGAAGGACCUGCCCUACUUGCAAGUGGGGCCUUUCCACACGAACACAGUAGCCGGACUGGAACUGGCCAUGCGCCUGCUGCCUCCCAUAGG
rnacentral:rRNA from 1 species